GAAAGGUGCAUUACACUAAUCAGAGGAAUGCAUAACCUCUGCAAAGCAGGUUGAGCUUGUUCUUCUCUUUAUGUUCUUCUCUUUAUGAUUUCACAGCAAAAACAAUAACAUACACAAACUAAACACGGAAAUGAAAGAUGCCUCUUCUCACCUCCAUAACUGUCCUAUAACUCAGAACUCUGCAGAGCUGACAUACACAUCAAUGUCUGCUCGAAGUAACAAAAGUGCAAUCCAGUGGAAUUAAAUGCAGUUGUGUUUUGAUG